GCAUAGCAGCAGCCCUUGCCUGCCUUUCGCCUUACCCUCUCUCUCUCUCUCUUUCACACAACCACUCACACUGCCGGUUGGUUUCCCUUCCGUUGUGGUUGGUGCGUACUUAGUGGCGGCCGGCCAUGGCGCGGAGGAGGGGCUUCUCGGCGGUGGUGCCGCCGGCGUGGCUGCCGGCGGUGCUCCUGUUCCUGGCAGGCGCGGCGUCGGGCGAGCCGCUGCAGCAGUACUACAAUGCCAUCUUCAGCUUCGGCGACUCCUUCUCCGACACGGGCAACUUCGUCAUCAUCAACUCGGGCAAGCUGCCCAACAUGCCCAAGUUCCCGCCGCCGUACGCGAGGUGCUCCAACGGCCGCCUCGUGAUCGACUUCCUGGCCGAGGCGUUCGGUCUCCCGCUGCUCCCUCCGUCGGCGAACAAGGGCACCAACUUCAGCCAGGGCGCCAACUUCGCGGUGAUGGGCGCGACGGCGCUGGACCUCAAGUACUUCAAGGACAACAACGUGUGGAGCAUCCCGCCCUUCAACACGUCCAUGGGCGUGCAGCUGGAGUGGUUCCAGGAGGUGAAGCGCAGCAUCUGCCCCGACGACCCCGCCGCGUGCCGCGCCCUGUUCGGGAGGGCCCUGUUCGUGUUCGGCGAGUUCGGCGGCAACGACUACAGCUUCGCGUGGAAGGCGGACUGGUCGCUGGAGAAGGUGAAGACGAUGGUGCCGGCGGUGGUGGCGUCGCUGGUGGGCGGCGUGGAGCGGCUGCUGGACGAGGGCGCCCGCCACGUCGUGGUGCCGGGCAACCUCCCCGCCGGAUGCAUCCCCAUCACGCUCACCAUGUACCCGUCCGAGGACCGCUCCGAGUACGACCCGCGCACCGGCUGCCUCAAGAAGUACAACAGCGUCGCGCUCUACCACAACGCCAUGCUCCGCGUCGCACUCGACCGCCUGCAGCGCCGCCGCCCGGAGUCCCGCGUCGUCUACGCCGACUACUACACGCCCUACAUACAGUUCGCGCGCACACCGCACCUCUACGGCUACAAGCGCGGCGCUCUGCGGGCGUGCUGCGGCGGCGGCGGGCCGUACAACUACAACGUGAGCGCGUCGUGCGGGCUCCCUGGCGCCACCACCUGCGAGGACCCCGACGCGCACGUCAGCUGGGACGGCAUCCACCUCACCGAGGCGCCCUACCGCUUCAUCGCCAACACCUGGGUCAAGGGCCCCUACGCGCACCCGCCGCUCGCCACCGUCGUGCUCGAGGACAUGGUCGACUGAUCCCUCUUGCUUCUGCAGGAUUGGUUUGCCACAAGGGAGUAGCUGAUAUGUAACGUGAAUUCCAUUCGUUCAUGUCCAUGUAUAUUGGGUACUACCGGAGCGGAGUAACAAAAAAAAAAUGUUAGUCUUUUCUGUUUUUUUUUUCGUCGUGCACCUGUGUGCCGUGCAGUCGCAUAGAUCAAUGAAGAAACCACUCCAGCUGUUUUUGAUGAUUGGUUUAGGCGGACUUGCAAGCGGUCGAGCCUGCUUAUGUUUUGCUAUGUUGGGCAGUGUACUGUACACGCUAAGGCUCAACUCGAUGGUUGGCACCCAG
rnacentral:misc_RNA from 1 species